ensembl:lncRNA
GCACGUGUUCAUGCGUGGGCGCCCAUCAGUUUCUGGCGGAUGGUUCCAGAUGGAAGCGAUGGCCGACGUCGUUGCAGCUGUAUGCUGACGGCAAAGGGCCUAUCGUAGCCGCGGAUUCACCUGAUGCUACGAGGCAAAGGAGACGUGCUCUGCUGCUUCAUCUUGCUGGACCAGACGUACAGGACAUCUUAUCAACUCUUCCGGACACGACUCAAACUAAAAGGUGACCGGGCCUUCGCUGUAGCUGCUCCGCGCUCGUGGAACCAACUGCCACCCGACAUACGUGAUGCCCCCUCCAUUUAUGCCUUUAAAUCAAGGCUCAAAACCCAUCUGUACAACCUUGCCUUCCCUCCCCAUU